rnacentral:misc_RNA from 1 species
AACGCACCUUGCGCUCCUUGGUAUUCCGAGGAGCAUGCCUGUUUGAGUGUCAUUAAAUUCUCAACCCCGAUCGGAUUUGCUUUCGAUUCGGAGGCUUGGAUUGUGGAGCGUGCUGGCCCCUCCCCGGGUCGGCUCCUCUCAAAUGCAUUCGCGGAAUUGACUUUGGUCCGUUUCGGUCAUCAGUGUGAUAAUCAUGUUGCGCUGUUGGCUAGGAUCGAGGUGCCGCAUACAAUGGUCUUCGGACAACUUCAUAUCAAUUUGACCUCAAAUCAGGUAGGACUACCCGCUGAACUUAA